rnacentral:misc_RNA from 1 species
GAUGAAGAACGUAGCGAAAUGCGAUAAGUAAUGUGAAUUGCAGAAUUCAGUGAAUCAUCGAAUCUUUGAACGCAUAUUGCGCCCGCCAGUAUUCUGGCGGGCAUGCCUGUUCGAGCGUCAUUACAACCCUCAGGCCCCCGGGCCUGGCGUUGGGGAUCGGCGGAGCCCCCCGUGGGCACACGCCGUCCCCCAAAUGCAGUGGCGGUCCCGCCGCAGCUUCCAUCGCGUAGUAGCUAACACCUCGCGACUGGAGAGCGGCGCGGCCACGCCGUAAAACACCCAACUCUUCUGAAGUUGACCUCGAAUCAGGUAGGAAUACCCGCUGAACUUAAGCAUAUCAAUAAGCGGAGGA